UACGUAGGGUGCAAGCGUUGUCCGGAUUCAUUGGGUUUAAAGGGUCCGUAGGCGGUUUAAUAAGUCAGUGGUGAAAGCCCAUCGCUCAACGGUGGAACGGCCAUUGAUACUGUUAAACUUGAAUUAUUAGGAAGUAACUAGAAUAUGUAGUGUAGCGGUGAAAUGCUUAGAGAUUACAUGGAAUACCAAUUGCGAAGGCAGGUUACUACUAAUGGAUUGACGCUGAUGGACGAAAGCGUGGGUAGCGAAUAGG
rnacentral:rRNA from 1 species